ACCCCCUGGCAGAUGACCAGAGACACCUUGUUGGUGGUGUUGUGCUUACAUCAGUCGGGAAGAGCAGAUGGCACUCCUUUGUUCAUCCUAGCUUGAUUCCUCGCCUUGUGGCCAAAGCUGUCUCAUGCCUAGGACUCAUAA